ensembl:lncRNA
GUAUUGUGACAUCUGGCAACACUGGUCAAGCGUCUAUUUCAGGGCUGUCCAAACUCGGUCCUGGAGGGCCGGUGUCCUGCAGAGUUUAGCUCCAACUUGCCUCAACACACCUGACUGGAAGUUAUGUCUAGUAAGGGCUUGAUUAGCUGCUUCAGGUGUGUUUAAUUAGGGUUGGAGCUAAACUCUGCAGGACACCGGCCCUCCAGGACCGAGUUUGGACAGCCCUGGUCUAUUUCAUACCGGCAAAAAUAGUAGGAAUCUAAGCUGGGAACUGUGUUUGAAACACAGACCUGACGGACACAUUUCGAGGAUGGCUGUAUUAUGUCCCAAGACAAGUGUGACAUUCAACAGACGACUGUUUUAAUCAUUUCUGUACAUCGGACGGGAGAUAAUAUAACGUUGCACUCCUGCUGCAUCUCUCCUGGGCAUUUCUCUUCCCCUCACAACCUAACGGCAUUUUGCUGUGGUACGGGAACUGUCUCCAGGCUGCACAGCUUCAGAGCUCCCAGAAUUCUCCCCAUCAAAUGUGGUCACUUUUGAUAUCAAGCAGGGCCCAUGGUGAUCUGCAUGCCACUAUAUGGACACUGUCCAUGCUGACCACAGGACUAGAAACCCAGAGCACUGCGUGGGGCACCAUAGAUAAGUGCACUCUG